CAUGGUGGCCAGUGGAAGCCAGCGCCACCCUGCAAGGGCACAUGUGGCUUCCCACAAGCAAUCAACUGUGUAUGUCACAACAUAGCUUGACAUUCAUUGUGUAUGUAUACAUUAUUUGUCAUUCCAUGCUACUUCAUAUCCUGUAAGUUGUGCAAUUGGCAUUUCAUCUUGACCCACUGCCUUCUAAGGAAAUUAUCUGUAUUGUAAGUGUGGUGAAUGUUAUUUUACAAUUUUUUACUUGGGUUUGUGUAGAAUAUGGUGAUGGGUUUUUAUGGAUCCACAGAUAUAUGGAGACUCAAAGAGAACUUUGUGGCUUCUACUUUUGGCCAUCAUUAUACUGAGAACAAGGAUAGGUUGGCAGCCUUCCUGACCAACUACUUCCGUACAAGGCCUUCUCAGUGAUAGUCACAUAAGAUUAAAUGAAAGAUUACAGCAGUAAAAUACAGUCUUCUUUUCAGAUUGUAAAUGUAUUGUCAUCUAACAUUAAGAAAAGAGGACAAAUUGAAUAAUAAGAAUAUAAAACACUCCUACAUCCCUUUUUUGUAAUGGGUCAGUUUUAGUUUUAGAAGGAAACACUUAUUAAAUAUAGGUGGGCAUGUUGUUGCCAGAUAAAACUUUUUUUUUUUUUUUGGCUUAAUGAGGCUGAGUGGUUCAGCCUAGCUGGUUAGAGUAGUUAGGACACAGUCCCUAGUCCUAACACUAUUAACAGAAGUCUCCCAUCCUAUGUAGCUCUCCUACCUAAAAGCCACUCUCUGUGAACUAAGAACAAUAUUAUUUUGGUUUAUGAUGGCAUCUGUUAUAAUUCACCAAAACUAGAGUAGACUUUUUUUUUUUUUUCCAAGACAGGGUUUCUCUGUACAGCCCUGGCUGUCCUGGAACCUUCUUUGUAGACCAGGCUGUCAGACAUGCUC
rnacentral:lncRNA from 1 species